rnacentral:misc_RNA from 1 species
AACGCAUAUUGCGCCCUUUGGUAUUCCGAAGGGCAUGCCUGUUCGAGCGUCAUUAAUACCCCUAUCAAGCUUGGCUUGUUGUUGGGCCCUUUUGUCACUGGGUGACAGGUCCGAAAGACAAUGGCCGGUGUCAUACAGACUCCCUAUGCAACGAGCUUAUAACGGCACGCAUCUGGUGGUUAUGUGACCUGGUUUGCACCCUUUCUCAAGGUUGACCUCGGAUCAGGUAGGAAUACCCGCUGAACUUAA